UCAGCCAUAAACUGAUAGUCUCACAACAAACUAUCCGCCAGAGAACUACUAGCGAAAAGCUUAAAACUCAAAGGACUUGACGGUGCCCCACACCAGCCUAGAGGAGCCUGUCCUAUAAUCGAUGACCCACGCUGCACCCAACCUGCCCUAGCAAGACCAGCCUAUAUACCGCCGCCUCCAGCCUGCCUAACUGAUAGCCCCCCACAGCAGGCAAAACUGCCCUCACAAACACGUCAGGUCAAGGUGUAGCUAAUGGGCAGGGAGAGAUGGGCUACAUUUUCUUAGCCAUAGAAAAAACCACCAGCGCCAUGAAACUGCGCCACAAAGGCGGAUUUAGCAGUAAGCCUAGCCAGAAUACCUAGACUGAAAGAUGCUCUGGGGCG
rnacentral:rRNA from 1 species